rnacentral:rRNA from 1 species
UACGUAGGGUGCGAGCGUUGUCCGGAAUUACUGGGCGUAAAGAGUUCGUAGGCGGUUUGUCGCGUCGUUCGUGAAAACCCGGGGCUCAACUUCGGGCUUGCAGGCGAUACGGGCAGACUUGAGUGUUUCAGGGGAGACUGGAAUUCCUGGUGUAGCGGUGAAAUGCGCAGAUAUCAGGAGGAACACCGGUGGCGAAGGCGGGUCUCUGGGAAACAACUGACGCUGAGGAACGAAAGCGUGGGUAGCAAACAGG